UACGGAUGGGGCUAGCGUUGUUCGGAAUUACUGGGCGUAAAGCGCACGUAGGCGGCUUUGUAAGUUAGAGGUGAAAGCCCGGAGCUCAACUCCGGAAUUGCCUUUAAGACUGCAUCGCUAGAAUUGUGGAGAGGUAAGUGGAAUUCCGAGUGUAGAGGUGAAAUUCGUAGAUAUUCGGAAGAACACCAGUGGCGAAGGCGACUUACUGGACACAUAUUGACGCUGAGGUGCGAAAGCGUGGGGAGCAAACAGG
rnacentral:rRNA from 1 species